rnacentral:lncRNA from 1 species
UUUAGAGUGGAAGGACUAGACAUAUCUGAUGACGAUGGUGACAGAACACUUCAUCAAAUAUUCUUGACCGGCCCCUCCCAAGGCUUAACGUUACCCUGGUUUACGUGAUGACGCAAGAUGUAUAUGAGCGCAAGCGGCGGGAUGGUUCUUCUUUUACCGCCAUAAGGCGGAGUCUUUUGCUUUGGGACCGCUUCACUGCGUAGAUCCACCGUCAAGCCGCCAGCUAAAGCAGCAUCACUCGAGACUUGGCUAAGAUGGCAGACAUGGACAAUAAGGACCAGGCUGAGCUGGACCCGGCAGAUUUGAGGACGUGGAGGACGUGGAAGAGGAGGAGACUGGAGAGGAUGUCAACAGAAAGGUAAGGCUCAGCACCACCCGCCUAGGAAGCGACUGGGGAUUGUUAACCGUUAAUGUCUGCCCACCGUGG